UACGGAGGGUGCAAGCGUUGUUCGGAAUUACUGGGCGUAAAGGGCGCGUAGGUGGUUGUGUAAGUCGGAUGUGAAAUCCCCAGGCUCAACUUGGGAACUGCAUCCGAUACUGCAUGACUAGAGUACAGCAGAGGGAAACGGAAUUCCUGGUGUAGAGGUGAAAUUCGUAGAUAUCAGGAGGAACACCGGUGGCGAAGGCGGUUUCCUGGGCUGAUACUGACACUGAGGCGCGAAAGCGUGGGUAGCAAACAGG
rnacentral:rRNA from 1 species